GCCUCCAGCUGCCUCCAGCAAUACAGUGGGCUCAUCAACAGGUGCUGUCACUGCAGGAGUAAUUGAUGUCACCACUUCCAAUCUGACUACUACCACCAAAUCCGGCUCCCAAAGAAUGAGCGCCGGCAUCGGUUUCAUCUUGUUGAUAUCUGGGGCCAUGAACUUUCUGUUGUAACCUUCAUGUGAUCCAUGACUUCUGUUCCGGGGCUAGUGACGUGGAAAAGGAUAGAUGACGAACUACGCUAGAGGUUGCCACCUUCACAAGACUCGUAUACAUUAGAGACAGGAGUAACUUUGAAAAAAA
rnacentral:sRNA from 1 species